GCAACAUUGAUUUAAAUAAUCCAAAAAAAAAACAAGAAAAGUUACAAUCUCGAUCGUCUUAGACAUAAUUUGAAAACCUAGCAGAACAUCUGCUUGCGAUGCAAAAGAAAGCUCUAAAAAAUAAAUGGCUAUGUAAAAAAGAUAAACCUAAAAGAAACAAAAGGAAAUCAAUCCUCCAUAGCCAAUCGGUGCCGUAUAUGUUUAGACGCUUGGUAUGCAAGUAACCAUAGUAUGCGGAUUUGGCCUUCUCUUUGACUAGGUCACCAAAGUAUGACGAUUUUGCAUUCUUGUUGAUAGGGCCAUCAUAGAAUGGCGAUCUGGGAUCCUCGAUGCCUUCAGGUCGCCAUCGAUUCGUAGCCUCUGAAGCUCCCACAAAAAGCA